AAGGUGAAGAUGAUCCACAUAGAGUUACAAUGUCAUAUAGGUCAGAACAAGAAGAUGAUCCCAAUAAAGCUACAAUGACAUAUAGGUCAGAACAAGAAGAAGAUCCACAUAAAGUUACACUGUCAUAUGGGUCAGAACAAGAAGAUGAUCCCAAUAAAGCUACAAUGACAUAUAGGUCAGAACAAGAUGAAGAAGAUCCACAUAAAGUUACAAUGUCAUAUGGGCUGGAACAAGAAGAUGAUCCCAAUAAAGCUACAAUGACAUAUAGGUCAGAACAACAAGAAGAAGAUCCACAUAAAGUUACAAUGUCA
rnacentral:lncRNA from 1 species